rnacentral:lncRNA from 1 species
UUUUCCUAUGUUUCUGAGACUGCUCUGCCUCACUUGGCGGUGCUCCUUUCUGUCUCCAAACCUGGGUGUAAAGGUUCACAACAGUAAGAUUCUGAGUCAGGAACUUAGAAUCUGUAGGAUGGAACUGGCCAGAAGGGUUUGAGUGAAGGCAGUGGAUGUCAGGACCUAAGGCAGAAUGACAAUAAUCAGGGAUACCCCAGAACCCACUUUGCCUCUACCUUUGGCCACUUUGGAGAAGAAACUUACAUCAGACUAGUACAAGUUAUACUGCUCUGCACAGCUAGAAGAGAACACCAUGGUUAACACAUGAAAAAUAGCUGGUCAAAGCAGGAAUGAUGAAGUAGAAGGAAAAAACAUUUAGAAAAAUAUAGAGCCCUAGUAUUCCAAGGUAAUUGCUAGGUCAGCUUCAAGAACAAACAGACAUACAGUUUACUGUGGCACCAGUUUCCUAGGAAAAUACACUCUAAUUCCUCCUUCCAGGCUCAAGGCUUUUAGAAGAAUUUUAGUAAGCUUCACAAAGGUCAAUCUUUCUACUACUUCUGGUAUCAAUGAAAGGGGUAAGGAACAGGAGAGAGUCUCUGCAGAUUCUAGGUUGAAGCACAAACUGUACAUUAUUAAAGGUGACACAGUGAACUGGGUAUGUUAGGACUGACACCCAGGUCAAUGGACCCCUAUUUCCACCCCAACUGUCACUAAACAUUUCAUGU